UCUUUUCCCGGGAAAUAUCCAAAAAGAAGAUUACUUUCCAACGGUCGAAAUUUUUCGGACUCCCCUGCUCCCCCAGAGUGGUAGAAGAGAAGACCAUGAUCGCCCCCUCCCCGAGCGCCCUUCAACUCCAUGCCGGCUCCUCCCUCUUCCUUUCUCCCAAUCCCUACCUUCUCCUCCGACAUGGGUUUCCCAGAUCUCGAAAGAUCUGGAGGAGUUCCAUGUGUUUGGCUACCAGAACCCUCAUCAAAGACGGGGUUUUAAGGAUUAAUGGGAGGGAGGCACUCACAAGAGUACCAGAGAAUGUCGUCGUCUCGCCUUCCAAGACUGAUGAUUCGGCAUUCUUAGGAGCGGUAUCUGAUAGAAAGGGAUCCCGCUUUGUCUUCAAGCUUGGUGUUCUUCGGGAUCAUCGACUACUUUGCCUCUUCAGAUACAAGAUCUGGUGGAUGAUACCUCGAAUAGGAAAUUCAGGAAGUGAUAUUCCCAUCGAGACACAAAUGUUACUUCUGGAAGCAAGAGAAGAUUUAGGUGUUGAUAAAGGACGCCAUGAAGCUUCUAAUGGGCCCAUAGACUAUAUUCUCUUCUUGCCAGCGCUAGAUGGUCCCUUUAGGAGCAGUUUGCAAGGGAAUUCUUCGGAUGAACUUGAGUUUUGCAUCGAAAGCGGAGAUCCUGCUGUGGAAUCAUCUCAAUUCCUAGAAGCAGUAUUCAUUAAUUAUGGGAACAAUCCCUUUGACCUCAUGAAGGAAUCUAUGAAAAUACUAGAAAAGCACAUGGGAACCUUUUCAGUGCGUGAAUAUAAACAGAAGCCUGCAAUGCUGGAUUGGUUUGGUUGGUGCACUUGGGAUGCUUUCUAUUUUGAUGUAAAUCCCCAGGGAAUUGAAGAAGGCCUGAAGAGUUUAUUGGAAGGUGGCGCUCCAGCAAGAUUUCUGAUAAUAGAUGAUGGUUGGCAAGACACAGCUAAUGAAUUCCAGAAUGAAGGAACUCAGCAUGGAGCUAGAUUAGUCAGCAUUAAAGAAAACACCAAGUUCAGGAGUUCCCAAAAUGUUGCUACAAAUGGAGCACCAAAAUCACUAAAGGAUUUCGUUACGACGAUAAAGAAGAAUUUCGGACUGAAGUAUGUCUAUGUCUGGCAUGCACUGAUGGGAUACUGGGGAGGAGUUCAUCCAGACGCACCAGAAACUAAGAAAUACAAUUCAAAGCUAAUAUACCCUCUCGAAUCUCCAGGAAAUCUUGCACAUUCCAGAGACGUACCAAUUAAAUGCAUGGAGAAGUAUGGUGUUGCCAUGAUAGAUCCAAACAAAGCACUCGAGUUCUAUAAUGAUCUACACAGCUAUCUUGUGUCACAGAAUGUAGACGGAGUUAAAGUAGAUGUACAGAAUAUUCCUGAAAUCCUUGCAACAGGUUAUGGUGGCCGGGUCUCUUUGACUCGUAGGUUCCAGCGGGCACUAGAAAAAUCUAUAUUUAAAAACUUUCAGGAUAAUAACAUAAUAUGCUGCAUGUGUCAUAACACAGAUUCUGUAUACAGUUCAAAUGCGAGUGCGGUUGCCAGAGCAUCAGAUGAUUUUAUACCCAACGAUCCAACAUUACAGACACUGCAUGUUGCUACUGUUGCAUUCAAUAGCAUCUUUCUUGGAGAGAUUGUGGUCCCAGAUUGGGAUAUGUUCCAUAGCCUCCACAAUUCUGCCGAGUUUCAUGCAGCUGCGAGAGCCGUGGGUGGUUGUGGAGUCUAUGUCAGCGACAAACCUAAUAAGCAUGACUUUGAGGUACUUAAAAAGCUUGUACUUCCCGAUGGAUCCAUUCUAAGGGCUAAAUACCCCGGGAGGCCUACACGAGAUUGUCUGUUCAAUGACCCAGUAAUGGAUGGAGAAAGUCUUCUGAAGAUCUGGAAUCUGAAUACAUAUACUGGAGUUCUUGGCAUUUUCAAUUGCCAAGGAACCGGAACCUGGCCAAAUCUUAACAAAAAUCAGAUUAUCCCGGCUUCUAAGCCAAAGUACCUUACUGGUCAUAUUAGCCCAAGUGACAUUGAGUAUCUUGGAGAGGUUGCUGGGAAUGGUUGGACUGGAGAUUGUGCAGUUUAUUCCUUCAAUUCUGGUAAUUAUAUCACAGGCUAAUAUGUGGGAAUCCUCACAACAAUUCAAAUAAGGUUCACUUUAUCAAUUGCCAAGGAAUGGAUUAUUGACUGUCUCACUACAAGUUCUGCAAUCUGAAGUUUUUACAAUAACUCCAAUCAAGCGUUACAAUCAAAGUAUCCAAUUUGCACCAAUUGGAUUAAUUAAAAUGUACAAUUCUGGUGGAGCUGUUGAAGCAAUGGACUUUUUUAACACAUGCCAAUUAACUAUCAAAGGGAGAGGAUCUGGUCUUUUCGGAGCAUAUUCAAACAUAAAACCCAAAACUUGUACCGUGAACUCGAAAAACAUGGAGUUCCAAUAUGAUACUCGAGACAAGUUUUUGACAUUAACCAUUCCUCUAGGGGUUAAUUCUUGGGAGACAGAGAUUUGCUUUUAGGCUUCAUAUUUUAGAAAAAGCCUCGUUAUGAUUUUUCCCAUGGCCAUUAUAUCAUUGUUGUAACGGUCAAAUAGAUUAUACAUGGCCUAUUGGAAAAGGAACUUGGAGCCAAUUCAUUGCAGACACCAGUUGUAGAUAUCUUCUUUGAUAUUCCUUCAUCAUUAUUCCAUUGAAUGUGCAAAUACAAGACCUCCCUAUCAUAAGAAAUUAUUCCA